AGGUAAAAAAUCGGCGUGGUUAGCAGAACGAGCUGGAAAGCUUAGCCGGAGACUGUGAUAGCCAGGUAUGCGAAAACGACGCUGACCUUAUUCUGUAUUCUCGAGUAGGUCGGGGCACGAGAAACCCUGAUUGAAUCCGGCUGGACCACCAGCCAAGGCUAAAUAUAGUAUAUGAUCGAUAGUGAACUAGUACGGUGACGGAAAGGUGAAAAGAACCCCGGGAGGGGAGUGAAAUAGAACCUGAAAUUUUGUGCCUACAAGGAGUCGGAGCCCAGCACCUUUGAAAUCGAGUGGUACAAUGUAGACAGAUGUUCUACGUGUACGUUUUGCAAAGUGAUCGGGAAUCAGAUCAAAUUUACUUCGGUCAGACCAGUGACUUAAGACGACGUCUCUCGGAGCAUAAUUCCGGUAAGGAUACUUAUACCAAGAUAUAUGCGCCAUGGAAGGUUGUCUACUAUGAAGCCUAUUCAUCACGUAAGCUAGCGAUGGCCCGUGAGAGGCAGUUGAAAGCUUAUGGACAAGCCAGGACUGCUCUGAAGAAGAGACUAAAUUUGAUCUGAUACUCGAUUUCAAAGGUGCUGGGUGACGGCGUGCUUUUUGUAGAACGAUCCAGCGAGUUAAUUUUUACGGCGAGGUUAAGUCAGAUGACGAAGCCACAGUGAAAGCGAGCAUUAACAGUGCGAUUUAGUCGUAAGGAUUAGACCCGAAACCAGGUGACCUAACCAUGAGCAGGUUGAAGCAACCUUAAUCGGUUGUGGAGGACCGAACCAGUGUAUGUUACAAAAUGCUUGGAUGACUUGUGGUUAGCGGUGAAAUGCCAAUCGAACUUGGAGAUAGCUGGUUCUCCGCGAAAUAGUUAUAGGACUAGCGUCGUGUGAUAGCUUACGGGGGUAGAGCUCUGUCAAGAGAUAGGGGGAGCAAUCCUACCUACUCUUAAUAAACUACGAAUACCGUAUGUCUGUAUCACGGCAGUUAGAACGUCGGUGCUAAGAUCGGCGCUCAAAAGGGAAACAGCCCAGACCAUCAUCUAAGGUCCCCAAAUUUACGCUAAGUGGGAAACAAGGUGGAAUUUCUUAAACAGCUAGGAUGUUGGCUUAGAAGCAGCCAUUCAUUUAAAGAGUGCGUAACAGCUCACUAGUCAAGAGAUUCUGCGUGGAAGAUAUAACGGGGCUAAGCGUAAUACCGAAGAUAUGGAUUGCAAUUUAUUGCAGUGGUAGCGGAGCGUUCCUAUCGGCAGUGAAGCCGGACUGUUAAGUACCGGUGGAGCGUUAGGAAGUGAGAAUGCUGGAACGAGUAACCAUAAGACAGGUGAGAAUCCUGUCGGCCGAAAGAGCGAGGUUUCCUGGGCUAUGGUAAUCAUCCCAGGGUUAGUCGGGCCUAAGCCGAGGCGUUUAGCGUAGGCGAUGGACAUCAGGUUAAUAUUCCUGAACUAGUCAAACUUUGUAUGCAGUUAGCGAUGAGAUAGGUGGAGCGGAUUCAUGGUUUAUCCGUUCAAGUGAUAGAGGAAUCUUGAUCGAGUAAAAGUGAACCUACGGGUUUACGAUUCCGCUGAAGGCAUUGACCAGAAAAGCUGGCAUACGCAUGGGUUUGGCUACCCGUACCGCAAACCGACACAGGUGCUCGAGUCGAGGAGACUAAGGCUUACGAGAGAAUGAUUGCUAAGGAACUCGGCAAUACAGCGACCGUAACUUCGGAAUAAGGUCUGCCUACAUUUGUAGGCCGCAGCUAAAGAGCCCACGGAACUGUUUAUCAAAAACUCAGGUCUCUGCUAACACGAAAGUGGAUGUAUAGGGGCUGAAACCUGCCCGGUGCCGGAAGGUUAAGGGGAUUGCUUCACGGUGAGAACUGAAGCCCCGGUGAACGGCGGCGGUAACUAUAACCGUCCUAAGGUAGCGAAAUUCCUUGUCAGGUAAGUUCUGACCCGCACGAAUGGUUAAAUCAUGUGGGCACUGUCUCAGCAAUUAUCUCGGUGAAAAUGCAUUGGCGGUAAAGAUGCCGUCUGUCCGCACCAGGACGAAAAGACCCCGUGGAGCUUCACUACAGCUUUACAUUGUUGUGGGUUCUAACUUGUGUAGUAUAGGUGGGAGACUUUGAAGCAGAUACGCUAGUAUUUGUGGAGUCAUCAGUGAAAUACCACCCCCGUUAGGAUCUGCAUCUAACCUGUGCCGUUAUCCGGUAUAGGGACCGUGUAUGGUUGGUAGUUUAACUGGGGCGGUUGCCUCCUAAAGAGUAGCGGAGGCGUUCAAAGGUU
rnacentral:rRNA from 1 species